AAGGAGCGACUCCAGCCUGCGGCGGCCACAACGUGCAGCCCGCUUUCUCCAGCGGCCUGAGACGUCGGCUCGCCCCCUCUGCUCGGGAAAGGGGGUCAGCGGCGACGGACGCGGAGAGGGACCACCGUGGGAAGUGCUGGCCCCUGCUGCCCUGCUGCCAAAUCCCACCUUACAGCCCAUGACUCUCGUCUAGAUACCAGCACUGAUGAUCUGGUCGGGUGAGAUUUUAGGAUUCCAGGGGAUCUUCAUCUUCCAUAAAUCAUCCCAACGCCUGCCUCCCACCUUCACCACACAGUGAAUUUCAGAGGACGCUGCCCAGCACCCCCUCGCUCGGGUCCUCCAGCCAGAGGCCGGGGAUGGAGACGCGUGGAGGCUGGCGCCUCGGAGGCUGGCUGGCCCUGCUCUCGCUGCUGCCGUCACUGGGCCUGGCUCAGUACGAGGGCUGGCCCCACGACCCCGAGUACUUCCAGCAGCCGGCACCCGAGUACCCCCGGCCCCAGGUGCCGUCAGACGUGGUGAAGAUCCAGCUGCGCCUGGCUGGCCAGAAGCGGAAGCACAGCGAGGGCCGGGUGGAGGUGUACUACAAUGGCCAGUGGGGCACCGUGUGUGACGAUGACUUCUCCAUCCAUGCGGCCCACGUCGUCUGCCGGGAGCUGGGAUACGUGGAGGCCAAGGCCUGGACCGCGAGCUCCUCCUACGGCAAGGGGGAAGGGCCCAUCUGGUUGGACAAUAUCUACUGCACCGGCAAGGAGGCCACCCUCGCGGCCUGCUCCUCCAAUGGCUGGGGUGUCACCGACUGCAAGCACACCGAAGACGUGGGUGUGGUGUGCAGUGACAAAAGGAUUCCUGGUUUCAAAUUCGACAGUUCGUUGGUCAACCACAUAGAGAACCUGAACAUCCAGGUGGAGGACAUCCGGAUCCGAGCCAUCCUGUCGGCCUACCGCAAGCGCACCCCCGUGACAGAGGGCUAUGUGGAGGUCAAGGACGGCAAGACCUGGAAGCAGAUCUGCGACAAGCACUGGACAGCCAAGAAUUCCCGAGUGGUCUGCGGCAUGUUUGGCUUCCCUGGGGAGAGGACGUACAACACCAAAGUGUACAAGAUGUUUGCGGCCCGGAAGAAACAGCGCUACUGGCCCUUCUCCAUGGACUGCAGAGGCACGGAGGCCCACAUCUCCAGCUGCAAGCUCAGCACUCAGGUGUUGCUGGACCCUGUGAAGAAUGUCACCUGUGAGAAUGGGCUGCCAGCCGUGGUGAGUUGUGUGCCUGGCCAGGUCUUCAGCCCCGACGGGCCCUCGAGAUUCCGGAAAGCCUACAAGCCAGAGCAGGACCGUGUGUCUCUUCAGCAACCCCUGGUGCGGUUGAGAGGUGGUGCCAACAUCGGGGAGGGCCGAGUGGAGGUGCUCAAGAACGGAGAAUGGGGUACCGUCUGUGACGACAAGUGGGACCUGGUGUCUGCCAGCGUCGUCUGCAGAGAGCUGGGCUUUGGGAGUGCCAGAGAAGCCAUCACUGGCUCCCAGCUGGGGCAAGGGAUAGGACCCAUCCACCUCAAUGAAAUCGAGUGCACCGGGACUGAGAAGUCCAUUAUAGACUGCAAAUUCAAUGCCGAGUCUCUGGGCUGCAACCACGAGGAAGAUGCUGGCGUGAGAUGUAACAUCCCUGCCAUGGGCUUCCAGAAGAAGCUGCGCCUGAAUGGGGGCCGGAACCCCUACGAGGGCCGGGUGGAGGUGCUGGUGGAGAGGAACGGGUCCCUCGUGUGGGGGACAGUGUGUGGCGAGAACUGGGGCAUUGUGGAGGCCAUGGUGGUCUGCCGGCAGCUGGGCCUGGGGUUUGCCAGCAACGCCUUCCAGGAGACCUGGUAUUGGCACGGAAAUGUCUACGCCAACAAAGUGGUCAUGAGCGGGGUGAAGUGCUCGGGAACGGAGCUGUCCCUGGCUCACUGCCGCCACGAUGAGGACGUGGCCUGCCCCCAGGGCGCAGUGCAGUAUGGGGCCGGAGUCGCCUGCUCAGAAACUGCCCCUGACCUGGUCCUCAAUGCGGAGAUCGUCCAGCAGAGCACCUACCUGGAGGACCGUCCCAUGUUCAUGCUCCAGUGUGCCAUGGAGGAGAACUGCCUCUCAGCCUCGGCCGCCCAGACCAACCCCACCACAGGCUACCGACGCCUUCUGCGCUUCUCCUCCCAGAUCCACAACAACGGGCAGUCUGACUUCCGACCCAAGAAUGGCCGCCAUGCGUGGAUCUGGCACGAUUGUCACAGGCACUACCACAGCAUGGAAGUGUUCACCCACUAUGACCUCUUGAACCUCAAUGGUACCAAGGUGGCCGAGGGCCACAAAGCCAGCUUCUGCUUGGAGGACACAGAAUGUGAAGGAGACAUCCAGAAGAGUUACGAGUGUGCCAACUUUGGUGAGCAGGGCAUCACCAUGGGCUGCUGGGACAUGUAUCGCCACGACAUCGACUGCCAGUGGGUCGACAUCACCGAUGUACCCCCUGGAGACUACCUGUUCCAGGUCGUCAUUAACCCCAACUACGAGGUCGCGGAGUCUGACUACAGCAACAACAUCAUGAAGUGCAGGACCCGCUACGACGGCCACCGCAUCUGGAUGUACAACUGCCACAUAGAAGCACCCAGAGCUCAGCCCAUGACAUGUGCUCAGUAAACAUCACCGGACUCAGAAAACUCUGACCUGAAGGCACUACCAUGAACAGGAGAGGGUGUGAGCUGCCUGGCCCGAGCGCCCCACUCUGCCGCCUCUGAACUUCCGGACCGGGCGGGCUGGGCCGCGGGCUGCCAGUCCACCUGCUCAGCCCUCCCCAACAGAGAAGCUGCUCAGAAGAUCGAAAUUCUCUGCUGUCCUGUGGAUCAGGUAUCGGAGGCGACUGGAGAGCGGGGGGAAAAGAAGUACCCUGGGAAGGGAUGGGAAUGAGUGCUGAGCAGGGACCUAGGGCCUGACGCCCACCAGGUCCAUGCCCAGUUUACAGGAGGCUUGACACUAGGCUCCCUCGCCGACUGCAAAGGACGUGAGCACAGAGGUUAUCACAGGGAGUUACUGGUACCAUUCCACUCCUGUGCUGACACCCUUCGAUCUCUGGGUGAUGCUCAGAAUUACACCGGGAAGAUGUGGCUGAGAGAGGCUGUGGCUAGGAGGUUAUUAAACCCAAAGGCCAAGAUCAGAGGCAGGGAGGAACCAGCUACUUGGGAAGGGGGCACAGGGGGCUCCGCGUGAGCCCGCCCUUCCCGCACAGGCAGCUGCCCCCACCCCCCGGCACUCCAGCUUACUUUGACAGCUGUUUCUGCAGCAGAAAGCGGUCCAGCUCCUCCUGGAUGCGGUGCACAAAGUCAUUCUCGGCGGAGGAGAGGAAGACGCCGUCCAAGCAGAGAAGGGCCAGGGUGACAGAUACCACAGGUUUCCGGCUUCCUCCUUCCACUAGCCACUCUUCCGGUAUUCUACUGGGCUCCACUUCUCCUCGGCUCCAGAAGUUAGAAUGCCUCAGGGCUCUGCCUGGGAUCAAGCUUCAAGUUUAUUCCUCCCCUGGUUUCACCAUCUCAGUCACACAAAUGAUUUUACUGACCUGGCUUUGUGCAUCUGUAGACCUUGCCCUCCUCUGCAGAAAGAACAGAGUAUUCCUGCACAUCGUGAAAUAAGAACCGGACCCUCUGGCACAACCCUGAAGCAUUGAGAACAUUUGUAGCUGGCAUCAGCAAGUGCACGAAAUCAAGAAAUGUUGCAGGCUACUGCACUCCCUUUGCUGAUUAACUACCCUAAACCCCUUAAAAAACCCAUGAGCCAGGCAGAAACCUCAGAGUUGGCUUUUGGUCAAGAGUCUGCCUUCUCCCUGGGUUGCUGGCCUCCUGAAUAAAGCUCAAAUUUAUUUCCAAUCAAAAACUCAUUGGGGUGCCUGGGUGGCUCAGUCAGUUAAGCAACUGCCUUCAGCUCAGGUCAUGAUCAGGUCCUGGGAUAGAGCCCCAUGUUGGGCUCCCUGCUCAGUAGGGAGCCUGCUUCUCCCUUUCCCUCUGCCUACUGUGCUCUCUCUGUCAAGUAAAUAAAAUCUUAAAAACAAAAACAAAAAAAUCUGUCUCUUGAGUAAUGGCUUUCAAGUGAUAGGCAGAUGAAUUUGGGUUCAGUAACAUGCUGUCUUCUUUUUUUCUUAAUCAGUCUUGCUAGAGAUUUCUCAAUAUUACUCAUCUUGUCAAAGAACCAGAUUUUGGGUUUGAUAAAUUUCUUUGCUGUACAUUUGUUUUCUAUUUCAUCAAUAUCCGCUAUGUUUAUUUCCUUCUUCUAGUUUUUUAGGUUUGAUUUAUUUUUGCCUAGAUUCUUUUUUUUUCUUUUUUUAAGAUUUUAUUUAUUUAUUUGACACAGAGAGAGAUAGUGAGAGCAGGAACACAAGCAGGGGGAGUGCGGGAGAGGGAGAAGCAGGUUCCCCACUGAGCAGGGAGCCCGAUGUGGGGCUCGAUCCCAGGACUCUGGGAUCAUGACCAGAGCUGAAGGCAGAUGCUUAACGACUGAGCCACCCAGGCACCCCUUUGCCUAGAUUCUUGAGAUGGAAGCUUAGACUGCUGAUUUUCCAACUUUCCUUUGUUUCUGAUAUAUACAUUUAAGGCUAAGCACUGCUGUGUUGGCACCCCACAACUUUUAAUAUAUUGUAUUGUUCAUAAUACUUGUACUAACUUUGUGAUGUCUAUAGGAUCUAGAUCUAGGUAUGAACUAUUUUUUACUUAAUCUGGAAUCUAUUUCCUGAAUUCCUAUCUCUCAUCAGUGCCGGAAAACACUCGCUGAUUUCUCUUUGAAUGUUGUCUGUUUUCCAUCUUUAAACUCUCCUUCUAGACAUUGAGUUAGAUACAUGAUAGACCUUUUCUUUGUGUUCUCUCUCUUUCCUUCUCCUUCCACCUAGCAGAAGGUCUAGAGGACACUAGAAACCUAGUGUUUCUCUCAACUUUUCAUCAUUCUAUUCUGCAUUUGGGUAAUUUCCUCAGUUCCAUUUACAGUUCACUUAUUCUUUUCUAAGGUAUAUCAGAUCUGCUGUUUAACCCAUUGAUUGAGAUUUGGUGAAUAAAUGAACAAAUAUACUUUUAUUUUUAGAAAUUUUAUUUCCUUUUUAAAAAAUCUGCUUAGUCAUUUUCACAAUGUAUUAUUUUCUUUUGUUUUGAUUCCUUUUUAUGCUUUUAAAUGAUUUAGUAUAUUUUCAUUUUUAUAGUUGUAAGCUAUGAACUGCUUUAGCUGAAGUUCUGGAGUCUCACCCUGCUAUUCUCUGGGCUAGCUCUCACUCGUGGUGGAUUGUUUCCUUGUAUAUUUUACAAUUUGGAGCCAUGAGCCCAUCUUCGGCAGUUUUAUCCAUGCAGAUUUUAUACAGCCUUAAGAGUUGUCUUGCCUUUACCUCUUCCAGGUAUUCAUGAUAUCAAUAUUUUUUAAUUGUGCUAAAAUACACAUACAGGACCACUUUUUAUUUCUCAUCUUGUUAGCUGUAAUAUCACAUGAAAAAUGAAAAAUGAAAAAUGAAAAAAUUAAACCCCAAACCAGUGUGAGCAGACCUGUGGAUCUAAUUUCUCAGAUGAUACUUUUUUUCCACCUAAGUCCAAGCUGAGAUAGACAUGCUUCCUUGUAAUCCCCCUGUCCCAGAGGACAGCUUUUUUUCCUACCUCACCUGUUGAGGGAGGGUGUUGUACUUUGAGGGUCACAGUUUAGUAAGGGAGGCUUGUUCCCAGCCCCCCGCUUGCAUUGACUUUUGGACUCAUCUUUAUCUCUGAUAACUGUGAAAUUCUGUGCCCUAUAUUUCCACACACCCCAUCUGAAGGCAGCCAUGGUGCAAGUUCAUCUAGUUUUAAGUUCUCUUUUUGUUCUUGUCCCUUAAGGAUUUCUUUCUUGUGACCUCAGUUAUGCAUCAUUUCCCCCCUCUAUUUAUUUUGAAAUAUUCCAAACCCACAGAAAAAUCUCACGAAGAACAAACUAGACACACACAUUUACUUUUUAAAUUUUUGUUAAACCAUUUGAGAGUUAGUCACAGAUAUGAUGACACUUUAAAUACUUCUGAUUACAACUCCUAUAUAAUCAUGAUACAAUUACCAAACUCAGAAAAUUUAACAAUGGUAUAAUACUUUAAUAUACGGUUCAAUUUUCCCAUUUGUUCCAAUAAUGUCUUUUAUGACAGUCCUUUUUUCUAACCCAGUUAAAGGCCAUACAUGUCAUUUACAUGUCUUGUCUUUUUUGUGUCUUUUAAACUGGAAUAGUGUAUCUGCCUUUUGUCUUUCAUGACAUUGACAUUUAAAAAGUCUAGACCAGUUGUUUUGCAGAAUAACUCUGAAUUUGGAUUUGUCUGAUUAUUUUACUUUUAGUUUCAGAGUAAACAUUUUUUUUUUUUUUGUAAAGAACUGUACAUAGUUAAUACUGUGUCCUUAUCAGUUCAUCUUAUCAGGAGGAACAUGAUGCCAUUUUCUACAUUUGUGGUAAUGCUAAGUUUGAUUAUUUGAUUGAUAUCUACCUGGUUUAGCCAUUAAAAAGAUAACUUUCCUUCAUCUGUCAUUAAUAAGCUAAGGGGUGAUACUUUCAGACUGUGUGAAUGU